GCAGCUCUUCUCCCUCUGAUCCUGCAGGGAUGGCUGCUCCACUCUGAGACUCCAGGAUGACCUUUCUCAGCAGCCUCUGGGUGCUCUCUGAAGCAAAAACAAGAGCUCAUCAGUGUGGAGGCCCACAGGAAAAUGUGUUUUUCUCAUCUGUGAAGUGUUGCUCCUGAAUCUUUUUUUAUGUGUCCAUCUUAUCUGCUGCUGUUCCUCAGGCACAUAUCCCAUGUGGGGUGACAUUUCUGGCUCAGACCAGAAGGAAUGCAAAGUCCUGUGCCCCAGGGCAGCCAGUGAAUCCAGAGCCCCAGCACCGUGGAGAGCUGGCUGUAGCUGCCCACCCUCGCUCCCAGCCCAGAUCUGACCCCCUGCCUCCUGCUGGGUGAAAACCUGGCUGAAGAGCUGCCCCUGCUGCAGGUAGAGUCCUUCAGUUCCUCCUGGUGAAGAUGUUCUAUCGGCUGUCAAUUCACCUUGAAGUGAGGCUGUCUCCGAGCCUGCAGCUCUGCCUCUCAUCACCAAGACCAGAUCUGCUUGCUCCCUCUCCCUGUGGCUCUCAUGGCCCCCUGCACCCACCAGGCUGUCCGGGGACGAAGGAUCUCUCCCCCCAAACCCUUGAAGUCCUUAAAGCAGAAGGGGAAGUGUGUGAGGUCUCCAGAAUAAUGCUGGUCCCUGCUCCUGGCCGAGUUCCUUGGUGCAGAUCGUGCAGGGUGUGCCGCUCCUGACUCAUCUGCCCGUGGCUGGUGGGAUUUCCCUGAGCACUCCCUCCCUGGAUGCAUUCCCUUCAUCGGAGCUGCCACUCACCCCAAGUCAGGAGGGGAAGUGGAGUUUAAAUCCAGCGGCAGAGAGUGAGGAACCCCCAUCUCGUGCUGCUGUCAGCAGGUCCCCGCUUUUCCCAGAGCUCCUGGGAUGGAGAUGCCCGGUCCUGCAGCCAGUGCUGCCCAGUAAUUGCUGGGAAUGCGCUUUCCAGGCCAUUACUGCCCGGCUGCCGGGCACUCAGCUCGGAGUUAAUGGUGUAAUGGGAGCUCUGCUGGGAGCGGGACAAGCCCUUGAUUCCAGGCUGUGGGGUUAACUCCGGGCUGAGGGGAAGGGAAGGGCUAAAAGCCCUGUUUGCAGCUGCUGCGGCUCUUCUCCUGCAGCCAAAUCCUCCUCACCACAGCAGAGCUCUCUGUGCCUCCCCACACUGGGGGGAAAGGAG